rnacentral:rRNA from 1 species
UACGUAGGGGGCGAGCGUCGUCCGGAUUUAUUGGGCGUAAAGAGCUCGUAGGCGGUUCGGUAAGUCGGAUGUGAAAUCUCCACGCUCAACGUGGAGGGGCCAUUCGAUACUGCCGUGACUCGAGUCCGGUAGGGGAGUGUGGAAUUCCCGGUGUAGCGGUGAAAUGCGCAGAGAUCGGGAGGAACACCCGUAGCGAAGGCGGCACUCUGGGCCGGUACUGACGCUGAGGAGCGAAAGCGUGGGGAGCAAACAGG